rnacentral:rRNA from 1 species
AGAGUUUGAUCCUGGCUCAGGAUGAACGCUGGCGGCGUGCUUAACACAUGCAAGUCGAACGAACCUUCGGGUUAGUGGCGGACGGGUGAGUAACGCGUGAGAAUCUGCCCUCAGGAGGGGGAUAACAGUUGGAAACGACUGCUAAUACCCCAUAUGCCGAGAGGUAAAAUGAAUUUUGCCUGGGGAUGAGCUCGCGUCUGAUUAGCUUGUUGGUGGGGUAAAGGCCUACCAAGGCUUCGAUCAGUAGCUGGUCUGAGAGGACGAUCAGCCACACUGGGACUGAGACACGGCCCAGACUCCUACGGGAGGCAGCAGUGGGGAAUUUUCCGCAAUGGGCGCAAGCCUGACGGAGCAACGCCGCGUGAGGGAUGGAGGCCUUUGGGCUGUAAACCUCUUUUCUCAAGGAAGAAGAUCUGACGGUACUUGAGGAAUAAGCCACGGCUAAUUCCGUGCCAGCAGCCGCGGUAAUACGGGAGUGGCAAGCGUUAUCCGGAAUUAUUGGGCGUAAAGCGUCCGCAGGCGGCCGUUUAAGUCUGUUGUUAAAUCGUGGAGCUCAACUCCAUCACGGCAAUGGAAACUGUUCGGCUUGAGUAUGGUAGGGGCAGAGGGAAUUUCCGGUGUAGCGGUGAAAUGCGUAGAUAU